AUUGAACGCUGGCGGCAGGCCUAACACAUGCAAGUCGAACGAGUGGCGGACGGGUGAGUAAUGUCUGGGAAACUGCCUGAUGGAGGGGGAUAACUACUGGAAACGGUAGCUAAUACCGCAUACCAUCGGAUGUGCCCAUAUGGGAUGAGCUAGUAGGUGGGGUAAAGGCUCACCUAGGCGACGAUCCCUAGCUGGUCUGAGAGGAUGACGGGCCACACUGGAACUGAGACACGGUCCAGCCUCCUACGGGAGGCAGCAGUGGGGAAUAUGGCACACUGGGCGCAAGCCUGAUGGAGCAAUUCCGCGUGUAUGAAGAAGGCCAUCGUUUUGUAAAGUACUUUCAGCGGGGAGUCGUUACCCGCAGAAGAAGCACCGGCUAACUCCGUGCCAGCAGCCGCGGUAAUAC
rnacentral:rRNA from 1 species